UACGUAGGGGGCUAGCGUUGUCCGGAAUCAUUGGGCGUAAAGCGCGUGUAGGCGGUCCGGUAAGUCCGCUGUGAAAGUCGAGGGCUCAACCCUCGAAUGCCGGUGGAUACUGUCGGGCUAGAGUACGGAAGAGGCGAGUGGAAUUCCUGGUGUAGCGGUGAAAUGCGCAGAUAUCAGGAGGAACACCGAUGGCGAAGGCAGUUCUCUGGGCCGUAACUGACGCUGAGGAGCGAAAGCGUGGGGGGCGAACAGG
rnacentral:rRNA from 1 species